AGUGAACGCUGGCGGUAGGCCUAACACAUGCAAGUCGAACGGCAGCACAGUAAGAGCUUGCUCUUACGGGUGGCGAGUGGCGGACGGGUGAGGAAUACAUCGGAAUCUACUUUUUCGUGGGGGAUAACGUAGGGAAACUUACGCUAAUACCGCAUACGACCUACGGGUGAAAGCAGGGGAUCUUCGGACCUUGCGCGAUUGAAUGAGCCGAUGUCGGAUUAGCUAGUUGGCGGGGUAAAGGCCCACCAAGGCGACGAUCCGUAGCUGGUCUGAGAGGAUGAUCAGCCACACUGGAACUGAGAGACGGUCCAGACUCCUACGGGAGGCAGCAGUGGGGAAUAUUGGACAAUGGGCGCAAGCCUGAUCCAGCCAUACCGCGUGGGUGAAGAAGGCCUGCGGGUUGUAAAGCCCUUUUGUUGGGAAAGAAAAGCAGCAGGUUAAUACCCCGCUGUUCUGACGGUACCCAAAGAAUAAGCACCGGCUAACUUCGU
rnacentral:rRNA from 1 species